AGGUAAGCUACUAAGAGCGAAUGGUGGAUGCCUUGACUGGUAAAGGCGAUGAAGGACGUACUAGACUGCGAUAAGCUACGGGGAGCUGUCAAGAAGCUUUGAUCCGUAGAUUUCCGAAUGGGGCAACCCAAUGUAUAGAGAUAUACAUUACCUAUAUAGGAGCGAACGAGGGGAAUUGAAACAUCUUAGUACCCUCAGGAAAAGAAAUCAAUAGAGAUUGCGUCAGUAGCGGCGAGCGAAAGCGCAAGAGGGCAAACCCAGUGCUUGCACUGGGGGUUGUAGGACUGCAAUGUGCAAGAGCUGAGUUUAGCAGAACAUUCUGGAAAGUAUAGCCAUAGAGGGUGAUAGUCCCGUAUGCGAAAAACAAAGCUUAGCUAGCAGUAUCCUGAGUAGGGCGGGACACGAGGAAUCCUGUCUGAAUCCGGGUCGACCACGAUCCAACCCUAAAUACUAAUACCAGAUCGAUAGUGCACAAGUACCGUGAGGGAAAGGUGAAAAGAACUGAGGUGAUCAGAGUGAAAUAGAACCUGAAACCAUUUGCUUACAAUCAUUCAGAGCACUAUGUAGCAAUACAGUGUGAUGGACUGCCUUUUGCAUAAUGAGCCUGCGAGUUGUGGUGUCUGGCAAGGUUAAGCAAACGCGAAGCCGUAGCGAAAGCGAGUCUGAAUAGGGCGCUUAGUCAGAUGCUGCAGACCCGAAACGAAGUGAUCUAUCCAUGAGCAAGUUGAAGCUAGUGUAAGAACUAGUGGAGGACUGAACCCAUAGGCGUUGAAAAGCCCCGGGAUGACUUGUGGAUAGGGGUGAAAGGCCAAUCAAACUUCGUGAUAGCUGGUUCUCUCCGAAAUAUAUUUAGGUAUAGCGUUGUGUCGUAAUAUAAGGGGGUAGAGCACUGAAUGGGCUAGGGCAUACACCAAUGUACCAAACCCUAUCAAACUCCGAAUACCUUAUAUGUAAUCACAGCAGUCAGGCGGCGAGUGAUAAAAUCCGUCGUCAAGAGGGAAACAACCCAGACUACCAGCUAAGGUCCCUAAAUCUUACUUAAGUGGAAAACGAUGUGAAGUUACUUAAACAACCAGGAGGUUGGCUUAGAAGCAGCCAUCCUUUAAAGAAAGCGUAAUAGCUCACUGGUCUAGUGAUUUUGCGCGGAAAAUAUAACGGGGCUAAAGUAAGUACCGAAGCUGUAGACUUGCACACAACUUAGAUUAUUUAAGUUUAGAAUAUGAGAAACUAAGUUAUGUUUAGUUAUAUUUUUACUGAUUUUUAUAGAGUAAAGAUAGAAAUAAAACUUAGUAAAAUCAGUAAAAAUAUUCUUAGGCUAAAGUUAAGUAGUUUAAGUUGUGUGUAAGUGGUAGGAGAGCGUUCUAUUUGCGUCGAAGGUAUACCGGUAAGGAGUGCUGGAGCGAAUAGAAGUGAGCAUGCAGGCAUGAGUAGCGAUAAUUAAUGUGAGAAUCAUUAACGCCGUAAACCCAAGGUUUCCUACGCGAUGCUCGUCAUCGUAGGGUUAGUCGGGUCCUAAGUCGAGUCCGAAAGGGGUAGACGAUGGCAAAUUGGUUAAUAUUCCAAUACCAACAUUAGUGUGCGAUGGAAGGACGCUUAGGGCUAAGGGGGCUAGCGGAUGGAAGUGCUAGUCUAAGGUCGUAGGAGGUUAUACAGGC
rnacentral:rRNA from 1 species